GAGGAAUAUUGGUCAAUGGACGAGAGUCUGAACCAGCCAAGUAGCGUGAAGGAUGACUGCCCUAUGGGUUGUAAACUUCUUUUAUACGGGAAUAAAGUUAGCCACGUGUGGCUUUUUGUAUGUACCGUAUGAAUAAGGAUCGGCUAACUCCGUGCCAGCAGCCGCGGUAAUACGGAGGAUCCGAGCGUUAUCCGGAUUUAUUGGGUUUAAAGGGAGCGUAGGCGGACGCUUAAGUCAGUUGUGAAAGUUUGCGGCUCAACCGUAAAAUUGCAGUUGAUACUGGGUGUCUUGAGUACAGUAGAGGCAGGCGGAAUUCGUGGUGUAGCGGUGAAAUGCUUAGAUAUCACGAAGAACUCCGAUUGCGAAGGCAGCUUGCUGGACUGUAACUGACGCUGAUGCUCGAAAGUGUGGGUAUCAAACAGGAUUAGAUACCCUGGUAGUCCACACAGUAAACGAUGAAUACUCGCUGUUUGCGAUAUACAGUAAGCGGCCAAGCGAAAGCGUUAAGUAUUCCACCUGGGGAGUACGCCGGCAACGGUGAAACUCAAAGGAAUUGACGGGGGCCCGCACAAGCGGAGGAACAUGUGGUUUAAUUCGAUGAUACGCGAGGAACCUUACCCGGGCUUGAAUUGCAACUGAAUGAUGUGGAGACAUGUCAGCCGCAAGGCAGUUGUGAAGGUGCUGCAUGGUUGUCGUCAGCUCGUGCCGUGAGGUGUCGGCUUAAGUGCCAUAACGAGCGCAACCCUUAUCGAUAGUUACCAUCAGGUUAUGCUGGGGACUCUGUCGAGACUGCCGUCGUAAGAUGUGAGGAAGGUGGGGAUGACGUCAAAUCAGCACGGCCCUUACGUCCGGGGCUACACACGUGUUACAAUGGGGGGUACAGAAGGCAGCUACACGGCGACGUGAUGCUAAUCCCGAAAGCCUCUCUCAGUUCGGAUUGGAGUCUGCAACCCGACUCCAUGAAGCUGGAUUCGCUAGUAAUCGCGCAUCAGCCACGGCGCGGUGAAUACGUUCCCG
rnacentral:rRNA from 1 species